UACGUACUGUGCGAACGUUAUUCGGAAUCACUGGGCUUAAAGGGUGUGUAGGCGGCCAGCUAAGUAGGGUGUGAAAGGCCUCGGCCUAACCGAGGCAUUGCGCUCUAAACUGACUGGCUUGAGUGAGAUAGGGGUGUGCGGAACUUCCAGUGGAGCGGUGAAAUGUGUUGAUAUUGGAAGGAACGCCGGUGGCGAAAGCGGCACACUGGGUCUCGUCUGACGCUGAGACACGAAAGCCAGGGGAGCGAACGGG
rnacentral:rRNA from 2 species